rnacentral:sRNA from 1 species
GUCAUCUGUUCAAAAGGGUUUGCUUAUUAGGUUCAGUGUUGGUAUUAUAUUCUUGUACCCACACUCUACAAUUGAUAAGCUAAAUCAACUCAGCUGGAAUUUCGAACA